GACGAACGCUGGCGGCGUGCUUAACACAUGCAAGUCGUACGGUAAGGCCCUUUCGGGGGUACACGAGUGGCGAACGGGUGAGUAACACGUGAGUAACCUGCCCACAACUUUGGGAUAACGCUAGGAAACUGGUGCUAAUACUGGAUAUGUGCUCCUGCUGCAUGGUGGGGGUUGGAAAGCUCCGGCGGUUGUGGAUGGACUCGCGGCCUAUCAGCUUGUUGGUGGGGUAGUGGCCUACCAAGGCGGCGACGGGUAGCCGGCCUGAGAGGGUGACCGGCCACAUUGGGACUGAGAGACGGCCCAGACUCCUACGGGAGGCAGCAGUGGGGAAGAUUGCACAAGGGGCGCAAGCCUGAUGCAGCAACGCCGCGUGCGGGAUGACGGCCUUCGGGUUGUAAACCGCUUUCAGCAGGGACGAAGCUUUUUGUGACGGUACCUGCAGAAGAAGCACCGGCUAACUACGUG
rnacentral:rRNA from 1 species